rnacentral:tRNA from 1 species
CAUGCGGUAGAGGAGAUGAUGGCCUCGCCGCGUUCGAUGGACUCGGCCGCAACGGAGAUCGAGCUGGUGUUCGCGGUACCAUUCGGCGCCGGUCGG